UACGGAGGGUGCAAGCAUUAAUCGGAUUUAUUGGGCGUAAAGGGUGCGUAGGCGGAUGGGAAAGUCAGAUGUGAAAUUUCAGUACUCAAUACUGAAGCUGCAUUUGAAACUCCCCUUCUAGAGGGUAGACGGAGAGAACGGAAUUCCAUGUGUAGCGGUGAAAUGCGUAGAUAUAUGGAAGAACACCUGUGGCGUAAGCGGUUCUCUAGUUUAUUUCUGACGCUGAGGCACGAGAGUGUGGGGAGCAAAC
rnacentral:rRNA from 1 species